GAUGAACGCUAGCUACAGGCUUAACACAUGCAAGUCGAGGGACCGGCGCACGGGUGAGGAACACGUAUCCAACCUGCCCUUUACUCGGGGAUAGCCUUUCGAAAGAAAGAUUAAUACCCGAUAUAAAGGAUGGGGAUGCGUGCCAUUAGGUUGUUGGUUAGUUAACGGCCCACCAAGCAUUCUAUGGAUAGGGGUUCUGAGAGGAAGGUCCCCCACAUUGGAACUGAGACUCGGUCCAAUCUCCUACGGGAGGUAGCAGUGAGGAAUAUUGGUCAAUGUGCGUUAGCCUGAACCAGCCAAGUAGCGUGAAGGAUGAAGGCUUAUGGGUCGUAAACUUCUUUUAUAUAAGAAUAUGUAUUAUAUGAAUACGGAUCGGCUAACUCCGUGCCAGCAGCCGCGGUCCUUC
rnacentral:rRNA from 1 species